rnacentral:lncRNA from 1 species
GAACUUUUCUGAUAUAAUUUCAUUGAAAAGAUUGUACAUUCCUUUGAUUUGUAUCUCUGAGCUUUCAUCUCAAUAAAUCUUAAAUUUGGUAUUUUCAUGUUAUCUCAUAGUUAUUGGAAGUUCUGUGCAUGGUUUCUUAAUGUCUUCUCUCAGUGUUAAACUCUAUUUUCAAGAUUAUAUAUGUUUUCUUUAUUGCCUGAGGAUCUGUCUUCUAAGUGGUCUAGCGUGUUGGUGAUUCCUUCUAUUGAAUUGUUAAUUUGGUUUAUUGUUUCCUUCAUUUUGGGGAUUUCUGCUUGAUUUCUUUUUUUUAAGAAUCUCUGCCUUUAUAUUGAAGUAAUAUUUCACUUCCUGUAUUUUCUUUUUUUAAAUUUUUUAAUUUGUCUUAAUUAGUUAUAAAUGACAGUAGAAUGCAUUUAUGCACAUUGAUAUAUCAUACAUAGAUGGGAUAUAAUUUCUCAUAUUUCUGAGUGUACAUGUUGUAGAAUCAUAUUGGUCAUAUGUAAUCACAUAUAUACAUAAAGUAAUAAUGUCUGUUUCAUUCUACUAUUCUUUCUAUCCCCACAUCCACUCUUCCCCCUCCCUUCACUUCCUUCUACUUAACCUAAGAUAAUUCUAUUCUUCUCUAGUGCCCCCUGCCUUAUUGUGAAUAAGCAUUCACAUAUUAGAGAAAACAUUCAGGCUUGGGUUUUGUGGAAUUGAUUUAUUUUGCUUUUACGGGAUUGACUUAUUUCGCUUAGCAUGAUAUUCUUCAACUCCAUCUAUUUACUGGCAAAUGCCAUAAUUUCAUUCUUUUGUAAAGCUGAGUAAUAUUUCAUUAAAUAACUAUACCACAUAUUCUUUAUCCGUUCAUCUAUUGAAGGACAUCUAGGUUGGUUCCAUAGUCUAGCUAUUGUAAUUAAGCUGCUAUAAACAUUGAUAGGGCUGUGUCAAUGUAGCGUGGUAAUUUUAAGUCUUUUGGGUAUAAACUGAGGAAUGGAAGAGCUGGGUCAAAUGGUGGUUCCACUCCAGGUUUUCUAAGAAAUCUCCACACUGCUUUUCAUAGUGGCUGCACCAAUUUUCAAUCCCAUCAGCAAUGUAUGAGUGUAUCUUUUUCCCUACAUCCUUGCCAACAUUUAUUGUUGCACGUAUUCUUGAUGAUUGCCAUUCUGAAUGGAGUGAGAUGAAAUCUUAGUGUAGUUUUCAUCUGCAUUUCUCUAAUUGUUAGAGAUGUUGAACAUUCUUUCAUAUAUUUGUCAAUUGAUUAUAUUUCUUCUUCUGUGAAGUCUAUGUUCAGUUCCUUAGCCCAUUU